rnacentral:tRNA from 1 species
GCGAAGGUGGCGGAAUUGGUAGACGCGCUAGCUUCAGGUGUUAGUGUCCUUACGGACGUGGGGGUUCAAGUCCCCCCUUCGCACCA